rnacentral:rRNA from 1 species
CAACUGACGCUGAAGCUCGAAAGUGCGGGUAUCGAACAGGAUUAGAUACCCUGGUAGUCCGCACGGUAAACGAUGGAUGCCCGCUAUUCGCUCGAAUGAGUGAGUGGCCAAGCGAAAGCAUUAAGCAUCCCACCUGGGGAGUACGCCGGCAACGGUGAAACUCAAAGGAAUUGACGGGGGCCCGCACAAGCGGAGGAACAUGUGGUUUAAUUCGAUGAUACGCGAGGAACCUUACCCGGGCUUGAAUUGCAGAUGAACGAUCCAGAGAUGGUGAGGCCCUUCGGGGCAUCUGUGAAGGUGCUGCAUGGUUGUCGUCAGCUCGUGCCGUGAGGUGUCGGCUUAAGUGCCAUAACGAGCGCAACCCCUGUUCUUAGUUGCCAUCAGGUAAUGCUGGGCACUCUGGGAAUACUGCCACCGUAAGGUGUGAGGAAGGUGGGGAUGACGUCAAAUCAGCACGGCCCUUACGUCCGGGGCUACACACGUGUUACAAUGGCCGGUACAGAGAGUUGGUCGUGCGCAAGUACGGUCUAAUCCAUAAAACCGGUCUCAGUUCGGACUGGGGUCUGCAACCCGACCCCACGAAGCUGGAUUCGCUAGUAAU